rnacentral:rRNA from 1 species
AUGAACGCUAGCGACAGGCUUAACACAUGCAAGUCGAGGGGCAGCGGGGAUGAAGCUUGCUUCAUCCGCCGGCGACCGGCGCACGGGUGAGUAACACGUAUGCAACCUGCCCCUGGGCUGGGGGAUAAGCCGGAGAAAUCCGGCUAAUACCGCGUAACAUCCUUGCGGGACAUCCCGUUAGGAUCAAAGGAAGCGAUUCCGGCCAGGGAUGGGCAUGCGGCGCAUUAGCUAGUCGGCGGGGUAACGGCCCACCGAGGCGACGAUGCGUAGGGGUUCUGAGAGGAAGGUCCCCCACACUGGUACUGAGACACGGACCAGACUCCUACGGGAGGCAGCAGUGAGGAAUAUUGGUCAAUGGGCGCGAGCCUGAAUCAGCCAAGUCGCGUGAGGGAAGACGGUCCUAUGGAUUGUAAACCUCUUUUGCCGGGGAGCAAGCUGUGCCACGUGUGGCGCAGCUGAGAGUACCCGGAGAAAAAGCAUCGGCUAACUCCGUG